UUAUAUGCUUCUCGUCCACCCAUCUUGUUACCUUGCUAGAAAGAUUCUUUUCCUUUUUAAAGAGUCAAACUUACCAUAAGUUGAGGUAACAUGAUCCCCUUUUUUACUCCAUGUCUCCCUCUCUUGUCAUUUCUUCCCACCAUUGCCAUAGAAGUGGUCCAUUGACCCUAGACUAGGCUAACCACCCUUUCCCCUCACUCCCUACCUUUAAUUGCCAUCAACUCUUCCCUCUCUCCCAUUUUCUCUCUUUUCUUUUCCUUUUCUCAUCCAUUUUUCUCCCUUUUUGCUAGCCACCACAUUUUCUUCUUCCUUCAUAUUACUUCCUCCCUCUCUCGUGACCAAAUCCAUCAUCACCAACCACCAUGCCUUUUAACCACUGUAGCUUCUCCUCCUCUUUCUCUUUCUUGUCGUUGCCGAUCGUUUCUGUGACCACCACUGCGCGCCACUGUGGAUUUCUCUUCUCUUCCAUAUCUCCUCCUUUUGUCUUAAUAAUUCACCCUUAUUUGUGCCGAACCUUCAUUAUUUCUUUUUACUUAACCC
rnacentral:lncRNA from 1 species